AGCUCCAAUAGCGUAUAUUUUAGUUGUUGCAGUUAAAAAGCUCGUAGUCGAAUUUCUGGUGGGAGAGGGCGGUCCGACCUUUUGGUGGGUACUUGUCCUCUCCGGCCAUCAUUGGGAGGAGCCUGUCUGGCAUUGAGUUGUCGGGCUGGGGAUUCCCAUCAUUUACUGUGAGUUAAUUGGAGUGUUCAAAGCAGACUUAUGUCGUUGAACAUAUUAGCAUGGAAUAAUAAGAUAGGACAGCAGUGCUAUUUUGUUGGUUUGCGCGCUACUGUAAUGAUGAAUAGGGACAGUUGGGGGUAUUCGUAUUCAGUUGUAAGAGGUGAAAUUCUUAGAUUAACGGAAGACGAACUACUGCGAAAGCAUUUACCAGGGAUGUUUUCA
rnacentral:rRNA from 1 species